GUACUUGCUUUGGCAGCACAUAUACUAAAGUGGGAACAAUACAGAGAAGAUUAGCAUGGCCCCUGUGCAAGGAUGACACUCAAAUUUGUCAAGCAUUCCGUAUUUCU